GCUGAAAGCAUCUAAGCACGAAACUUGCCCCGAGAUGAGUUCUCCCUGACCCUUUAAGGGUCCUGAAGGAACGUUGAAGACGACGACGUUGAUAGGCCGGGUGUGUAAGCGCAGCGAUGCGUUGAGCUAACCGGUACUAAUGAACCGUGAGGCUUAACCUUACAACGCCGAAG
rnacentral:rRNA from 1 species